GACGAGCGCUGGCGGCGUGCUUAGCACAUGCAAGUCGAACGAUGAAGAAGAGAAACGCGAACUUCGGUUCAAAUUUCACUUCGGAUUAGUGGCAGACGGGUGAGUAACGCGUGAGCAACCUACCUCUUACAAAGGGAUAGCCUCGGGAAACCGUGAUUAGUACCAUAUGACACAUUCAUAAGGCAUCUUAAGAAUGUUAAAGCUACGGCGGUAAGAGAUGGGCUCGCGUCCCAUUAGCUAGUUGGUGAGGUAACGGCCCACCAAGGCGACGAUGGGUAACCGGCCUGAGAGGGUGAACGGUCACAUUGGAACUGAGACACGGUCCAAACUCCUACGGGAGGCAGCAGUGGGGAAUAUUGCACAAUGGAGGGAACUCUGAUGCAGCGACGCCGCGUGAGCGAUGAAGGAAUUCGUUUCGUAAAGCUCUGUUCUAUGGGAAGAAAAGGACUGUACCAUAGGAGAAAGCCCCGGCUAAAUACGUG
rnacentral:rRNA from 1 species